rnacentral:rRNA from 2 species
UACGUAGGGUGCGAGCGUUGUCCGGAAUUAUUGGGCGUAAAGAGCUCGUAGGCGGUUUGUUGCGUCGGCCGUGAAAACUCAGGGCUUAACUCUGAGCCUGCGGUCGAUACGGGCAGACUUGAGUUCGGUAGGGGAGACUGGAAUUCCUGGUGUAGCGGUGAAAUGCGCAGAUAUCAGGAGGAACACCGGUGGCGAAGGCGGGUCUCUGGGCCGAUACUGACGCUGAGGAGCGAAAGCGUGGGGAGCGAAC